GUGGAUUAAAGAGUGGAAUAAUGUGCCGUUAGGGCCCUAGUGGAGAGGUCCUUAUGUUGUUCUUCUGUCUACCCCUACAGCGAUAAAAGUAGCCGAAGUGGCUCCGUGGAUACAUCACUCCAGGGUUAAACCAGCAGCAGCCGAUUCCUGGCAAGUUACAGCAAAUCCAGAGAAUCCCUGCAAGAUUCGGUUAAAACGCACGACUCAGUCGGAGUGACGAGGAACCUUGUAGAUUACAAAUUUUAUUGUUUCAGAGACUUGGUAAGUGAGUGAGAAGGCCAUAAUAAAGCAUGUCCACUCACCAACGAGUGUAUAAGUCGGGGAAAGUCUUGAGGGGACCCCUGUGAAGACGAGCAGAACUCCAUUCCCUGCAGUACUUACAUCCUGGAAGCUGAGGUGCCUUCGCACGGACGAAGACUGAGGAUGAUGACGAAAGAUGUAUUUUUAAUAAUGUUUAUUUAUGUGUAUUUUUAUAUUCAGGAAGGUAGAGGUACCAACACUCCUAGCUGUGAGGUAUGCAUUAAGACUACAAGAACAGGUAACCAUAUAUCCC